rnacentral:rRNA from 1 species
GUGGGGAAUCUUGCGCAAUGGGCGAAAGCCUGACGCAGCCAUGCCGCGUGAAUGAUGAAGGUCUUAGGAUUGUAAAAUUCUUUCACCGGGGACGAUAAUGACGGUACCCGGAGAAGAAGCCCCGGCUAACUUCGUGCCAGCAGCCGCGGUAAUACGAAGGGGGCUAGCGUUGCUCGGAAUUACUGGGCGGAAAGGGCGCGUAGGCGGACAGUUUAGUCAGAGGUGAAAGCCCAGGGCUCAACCUUGGAAUUGCCUUUGAUACUGGCUGUCUUGAGUACGGGAGAGGUGAGUGGAACUCCGAGUGUAGAGGUGAAAUUCGUAGAUAUUCGGAAGAACACCAGUGGCGAAGGCGACUCACUGGCCCGUUACUGACGCUGAGGCGCGAAAGCGUGGGGAGCAAACAGGAUUAGAUACCCCUGUAGUCC